UCUGUCUGUCUGUCUGUCUGUGUUUGAUUUUUGAUAUUUUGAUAAAUUGGUGGGGGAUGGGGCUGACCAACUUCAUAUUGACGGUGGCCGGCGUUAGCGCGGUGGUGAUCCUCCUGAAGGGCGACGUGAAGCAAUCGGCCUCCGUUUUGAAGCGAAACGUGAAGCAUAUUCGCAAUUGGAUCCAAGAAGAAACCUCCAAGGCAGCCGAGACCAAGUCACCAAAGGAGAUGAUGCAUUCAAUUAAGGAACCCAAAGAUAAGGAUUAGUGUUUAGGCUUUAUAGAUUGAUAUGUUUACUUGUUUUUAAGUAAAGUUGUUGAUGAACGAACACUUGAGCAACAUUCUUGCCCAACGUUUUUUGGUAAGAAAAGUACAAUCCCAUUCCUCCC